CAAUCCCCUAUCCGCCUCCGAUCCAUCCUCAGGACGCGUCUUCUUCGGUGACGGGUCUGGCUACAGCGAGCCAGACCCCGGUCACUCACUAGAAGCCACACAUCAACAACUCCACGGAGCAACCUUAACUUCUACUACUUUUUCUUCCAAUAGUACUGGCAGCAUUCGUGUUCCCACAAUGCAAGGCUUCGCUGAACAAGCCGAGAGUAUUAACAAAGGCAUGUCUGAUGUCGUCAUGAACGGAUUUAAACCAGAAAUGGUGCCUGUUUACAAGGAAUUGGUGCAGGAAUUUGCGGUGUGUGACAGAUGGUUCGCGUCGAUUCCAACACUGACGCAGCCUAAUAGAUUGUACAUACAUUCGGCUACUUCUUAUGGUGCUACCGAAAAUGAUACGAGUAUGUUGAUUAAAGGGUAUCCGCAGAAGACCAUUUUUGAGUCGUUGGAAGAAGGGGGUUGCAGUUUCGGGAUCUAUCAUCAGUAUCCUCCCAACACACUUUUCUUUAGGUAACAUUCAUCUUUAGUUGUUGACCAUAAUUUAAAUUUAGUUAUAAUUAUCUAAUGUCAGGAUUAAUGUUAAAAAUUACUUCAUCUGUUCCACUCAAAUGUUUAUAUUUGAGUUGGGUACGGAGGUUAAGAAAAUAAAAGUGCAAAAAUGAGAAAAUUGAGGAGGGUGAUGAGACCCGUAAGUAGUAGGAAUAGUUGAUUUUUCUGUCAUAAAAUUUUACUAUAUUUGAUAAGCUUUGAAAUGUCAAGAAUUGGAUUAGACAUCUCAAAAAAAAAAGUGUAAAUAAAUAAUAGAGAGGGAGGAAAUAUUAAUUUUCCAAGAUUAUUAAUCAAUCGAGAUUUAAUAUGUACACUUGCAGAAAUCAGUAUUGCUUAGCUGGUGUUGGAUAGUUUACUUAUAUUAUGAGCAUCUUUGUUUGACAUACAGAAUUGCCAGCUUCAUCAAUUUGACUAAUUUAACAUUUUUAAGAUAACGUGUUGGUUUUGAUGAUGGCAUUGAGAACAAUAAUGGAUCAUGUGUUGAAGACAAACUAAUUUUUAAGUAACUCUGAGUCUCUGACCUUUGAUGAUUCUUUUAAGUUUUUUUGCUAAGUUUAGUGCUGUAACAUAUAUGAAAUUAAACCUCGUGUACUACACCCUCAGUCGGAAAUAUGAUCACGUGCCGUGUCCUUUACUAGAUCCGUCUUUUAGAGGACAUGAGAUUUCUUCUGGAGAAGCAAAAGCAAUGCACUCAUCAGCACUCUGUUUUCAUUGUUAAUCUGCAAAGUGGUAGUACUGACUAGCAGUGAAAUGUUGGGAGAUUCAAAGAUUUAUUGCGGUAAAAUGUAGUUUCUCAAGUUAUAAAUGAGAACUAUUUUCUUUUCGCAGGAAUAUGAGAAAGCUUAAGUACAUAGACAAUUACCAUCAGUUUGAUCUGCAAUUCAAGGACCACUGCGAAAAAGGGAAAUUACCAAACUAUGUGGUGAUUGAGAACCGAUAUCUUGACACUAAAUUGUUGCCUGGAAACGAUGAUCACCCUGCUCAUGAUGUUUCGGAAGGCCAGAAAUUUGUGAAACAAGUUUAUGAAGCAUUGAGAUCAAGUCCGCAAUGGAAUGAGAUUUUGUUUUUGAUUAUUUAUGACGAACAUGGCGGUUUCUAUGAUCAUGUCCCUCCUCCAAUCACCGGAGUGCCCAGUCCCGAUGACAUCGAUGGCCCUGAGCCGUAUAAAUUCAAAUUCGACCGGCUAGGAGUUAGGGUGCCUGUUAUUAUGGUUUCUCCCUGGAUCGAACGAGGAACAGGUACCUUUACUUUUUUCUAAGUAGACUCAUUAUUAGCCAUCUACAAUUAAUCAACUAAAGUAUGAUUCGGUAUUGUUGUCGCAAAAUCAGCUGAAAAACUAUUUGGUAAAUUUAAAAACAGCUUUCCUGGACAAUAGGUCUUCCCAUGCUUCUGCGAGAAGUUAUCAUAAAUUUCACAAUCAAACCUCAUCAAAAAUAUAUUUUUUUAUAUAAUUACUCAAAAUAUGUAAAUACCAAAAAAUUACCNAAAAAAAAAAAAAAAAAAAAAAAGUGUAAUUCUAGGAAUAAAGAAUUCGGUAAAGUUGUAUGAGAAGAUGAGUGGAGUAAUUUUCGCUGUAAUAAUAUUAUAAUAUUGGAGAAACGAGAGAUUCAAAGUGACAUACAUAUAAUAAUUACCUGCAAAAUCACUAUUCUAAAAAAAUUUCAUUUAUUUAAAAAUUCCUAGCUAACUUUUGAAUAUUUUUCCUGAUUUAUUGAUCGAAUUCGACUAAAAAGCCUUGUUCAUAAAAUAUUUAUAAUAUAAAUUCUGAAUUGAUAAAUAAAUCAGUUAUGCUGUGUUCACUUGGAUGGAAUGAAAUGAGUGGAGAAUGUAAUUAAAAAAAUAUAUAUAAAUUUUAAAGAGAAAAAAAAAAAAAGAUAAUAGCGACAAAAUAUGAAUGUAUUUUAAUUUUUUAUGACAAAGAUAGUAAAGAAAGUAGAUGCAAUUUCAUAGUCAAAACUUUUCAUUCUUGUUAAUAUAAACACAUGUAUAUAAUCACCAGCUCAAGAGCAGUGAUUUGACUCUAUGAUUCAACAACUACAUUAGCUUGGUACAUAACAUUAUCAACUCUGAUUAUAAAACUCAUGCAAGAGGUGACAAUGUAGAAAAGCCUUGGCAACUUUAAUUCCAAUCAUAUCAACUCAAACAACAACAAAACCAUCUCAGGUCGAAAAAAUGGCAGCCGAAGCAACAACCAGCACAUAUCCUAUCAAGACAAUAGUCCUUGUAGUCCAAGAAAACCGAUCAUUCGACCACAUGUUAGGAUGGAUGAAAUCCCUAAACGACAACAUCAAUGGUGUGACCGGAGGCGAAUCCAAUCCCCUAUCCGCCUCCGAUCCAUCCUCAGGACGCGUCUUCUUCGGUGACGGGUCUGGCUACAGCGAGCCAGACCCCGGUCACUCACUAGAAGCCACACAUCAACAACUCCACGGAGCAACCUUAACUUCUACUACUUUUUCUUCCAAUAGUACUGGCAGCAUUCGUGUUCCCACAAUGCAAGGCUUCGCUGAACAAGCCGAGAGUAUUAACAAAGGCAUGUCUGAUGUCGUCAUGAACGGAUUU
rnacentral:lncRNA from 1 species